rnacentral:lncRNA from 1 species
ACACCUAUCUUCAAUAAAGUUGGCUAUCUGUUGAGAACAAUAACAAACAAAAAUACCUCAUCAACUUAACACUAAUUUACUGUAGCCUCCCCAUUUACUGACCAAGACAUAAAGAAAUAGCAAAGAAUAAUCCAUACCUUAGAGAUUGUAAAAGGACUCUUUGCAGCAUAUUCACAUAACUGAACAAUUUCCCUUUGAUUGGGAGAGCCGUCCUGGAAACCAAACCCAUUUUUACCUAUAAAUGAGAACAGAAAUAAGAACCACUUGUUCCUACACAGGUUAAAGAGGUCAAGCUGAGGACAUACCCAGAAGCAAUUACAAAAGAAGAAUGAGAUUAAGGAAUAAUAAUAAGGAUGAUUCUAUUUCAAAAACAAAAGGGGAUAGUGGAUGGGGUGGUCGUGAGACUAGAUCUGGGGUGACGAGGAAGAAGAGGGAGGCGGUGAGGAGGGAGAGGGAGCCGGAGAUGAGGGAAGCGGCGGCUGAAGGAAGGAUGGAGGACGUCGACAAUAGAUCCAAGCAAGUUCCCUCAUCAUCAGCAGAUUCCGAGCUUGAUAAUAAUCCUCCUAACAAAUAGAAAUCGAUCACAAAACGAAACCAAAGACAGAGAGGGAACGAAAGCCACGAUCUUUUCUGAGGCAGAGAGAGAGAGAGUAGACGGAUAAAGGGAGGAAAAAAGGAGAAGAUGUCGAGAUGCUCUGGAACUUCAGGAGGUGGCUAGCGAGAGAAAGGGUGGCUCGGUUCCAUCACUGGAUAAAAUGAGAAGCGAAGUUUUGAGAUAACUCUGGAAGCUUCAAGUGGCGACCCAGAGAAAGGAGUCAAAGGAAACUGUUCUGAAGAACAGUAACCCUCCGCUGACGUCAUCUCAACAAAUAUAUAUAUAUAUAUACUAGUUUUUGUACCCGCGCUUUGCUGCGAGAUUAUGGCUAUAUAUAGGUUGUUCCUUACUUCAAAACAAAAACUGAUCAAGUAAAAAAAGCUGAACUGAAGUUUGUAAAUCAGAUGUUUAUACAUACAAUAUGUGUAUAAACAUACAGUAAAUGUUUAUACAUACAGUAAGUGCAACACUAUUCAAAAGCUGAAGUUUGUGAAUCAAAUGUUUAUACAUACAGUAUGUGCAACAUUGUCCAAAAGCUGAUGCUAUGUUCAGCAAGGGUUGCGGCUGCAGUUGGAAGUGAAGCUGAGUAUGGAGUUCAUUCAAAAAAGCAGCUAAUAAGGAGAAAGUUGAAAGAAUAAAGGAUAAGUUUAUAAGACAAAGAAUGAUAAGGAGAAAGAUGUAUUACGACGGUGCACUAUGUUGCAGUCAUACAAUACAGUACCCCUCCUUCAGCGUAUGUAAAGGAUAAAAGAAAAAUUAAAUUAGUAAGAAAUAAGAAGAAUUAAGACAGAUUGUUAGAGAUGGGGACCUGCAAAAUUAAGACAGUAGUGGGACAUUGAGAUCAGUAAGAAGAUCAAUUGAUUAACAGGGAUCAAAAGUACACUUUUUUUUUAUUGUCCAGUAGAAUUUAAUAAGCCUAUAAAAUUACAUAAAAUUAUAGUUCGUCCAAUAUUAAAUUUCUCGCAUGAUUAAGUAGGCUAAGAGGCUGUGAAUAUCAAUUUGAAAUAAUACUCAGAACCAAUAUAUUUUCUUACAACAUGUCAACUAAGUUGAUGUACAUAAACAUAGCCAUGCAUCUAGUCAAACCAAAUGCAAAAAUUAGCAGUUCAAAUCAAAUACGAAUACUUCAACUGAUAGUUCACCUUCCAAAACUUACAUUCAAACCAACAAACGAAAACCUGUUGAAGUAAAAGUAUUAGCACUUUCAGUAGUUCGAUAAAAUAAAGCUAAAAUGCAGCAACACAGUUAAAAAAAUGCAUCCUUGAAUCUAAUCAAAGCAACAACUGAGCUUUACCUAAGAAGAAAAGUUAUCCAUACUUCUAAAAUCAAAGUCUUUUGCUUCGAGUAUCACAACCUGUCCAAGAACAUUCACUUUUGCAGAUAUGCAUUUACUUCCUCCACAUAUUAAUUUUCCUAAUCAAAGCAUGUAGUCUUCUUUAUAUGCAGCACUUGUUGUAAG